UACGGGGGGUGCGAGCGUUGUCCGGAAUCACUGGGCGUAAAGGGCGCGUAGGUGGUUUGAUAAGGGUGUGGUGAAAGUCCGGAGCUCAACUCCGGAUCUGCCGUGCCGACUGUCAAACUCGAGGGCUGUAGAGGCAGACGGAAUUCCGGGUGUAGCGGUGGAAUGCGUAGAGAUCCGGAGGAAGACCGGUGGCGAAGGCAGCCCCCCUGGGUCAAGAUUGACGCUCAUGCACAGAAAGCG
rnacentral:rRNA from 1 species